CACGAACGCUGGCGGCAGGCUUAACACAUGCAAGUCGAGCGCCCCGCAAGGGGAGCGGCAGACGGGUGAGUAACGCGUGGGAAUCUACCCAUCUCUACGGAAUAACGCAUGGAAACGUGUGCUAAUACCGUAUACGUCCUUCGGGAGAAAGAUUUAUCGGAGAUGGAUGAGCCCGCGUUGGAUUAGCUAGUUGGUGGGGUAAAGGCCUACCAAGGCGACGAUCCAUAGCUGGUCUGAGAGGAUGAUCAGCCACACUGGGACUGAGACAGGGCCCAGACUCCUACGGGAGGCAGCAGUGGGGAAUAUUGGACAAGGGGCGCAAGCCUGAUCCAGCCAUGCCGCGUGAGUGAUGAAGGCCCUAGGGGUGUAAAGCUCUUUCACCGGUGAAGAUAAUGACGGUAACCGGAGAAGAAGCCCCGGCUAACUUCGUGCCAGCCGCCGCAGUAACAC
rnacentral:rRNA from 1 species